GAUGAACGCUGGCGGCGUGCCUAAUACAUGCAAGUCGAGCGAACAGACGAGGAGCUUGCUCCUCUGACGUUAGCGGCGGACGGGUGAGUAACACGUGGAUAACCUACCUAUAAGACUGGGAUAACUUCGGGAAACCGGAGCUAAUACCGGAUAAUAUAUUGAACCGCAUGGUUCAAUAGUGAAAGACGGUUUUGCUGUCACUUAUAGAUGGAUCCGCGCGGCAUUAGCUAGUUGGUAAGGUAACGGCUUACCAUGGCAACGAUGCGUAGCCGACCUGAGAGGGUGAUCGCCCACACUGGAACGGAGACACGGUCCAGACUCCUACGGGAGGCAGAGGGAGGAAAUCUGCAGCAAUGGGCGAAAGCCUGACGGAGCAACGCGGCGGGAGUGAUGAAGGUCUUCGGAUCGUAAAACUCUGUUAUUAGGGAAGAACAAAUGUGUAAGUAACGAUGCACGUCUUGACGGUACCGAAGCAGAAAGCCACGGCUAACUACGU
rnacentral:rRNA from 1 species